CCCGAGCGUUAGGCGGAAUCACUGGGCUUAAAGCGUGUGUAGGCGGACCCCUAAGUGUCUUGUGAAAUCCCACGGCUCACCCGUGGAACUGCUGGGCAUACUGGGGGUCUUGGGCCGUUCAGGGGCAUGCGGAACUUCCGGUGGAGCGGUGAAAUGCGUAGAUAUCGGAAGGAACGCCGGUGGCGAAAGCGGCGUGCUGGACCUCUUCUGACGCUGAGGCGCGAAAGCUAGGGGAGCAAACGGG
rnacentral:rRNA from 1 species